UACGAAGGGGGCUAGCGUUGCUCGGAAUCACUGGGCGUAAAGGGUGCGUAGGCGGGUCUUUAAGUCAGGGGUGAAAUCCUGGAGCUCAACUCCAGAACUGCCUUUGAUACUGAAGAUCUUGAGUUCGGGAGAGGUGAGUGGAACUGCGAGUGUAGAGGUGAAAAUUCGUAGAUAUUCGCAAGAACACCAGUGGCGAAGGCGGCUCACUGGCCCGGUACUGACGCUGAGGUGCGAAAAGCGUGGGGAGCAAACAGGG
rnacentral:rRNA from 1 species